CCUACGGGUGGCAGCAGUGAGGAAUAUUGGUCAAUGGACGCAAGUCUGAACCAGCCAUGCCGCGUGCAGGAAGACGGCUCUAUGAGUUGUAAACUGCUUUUGUACGCGGGUAAACGCAGAUACGCGUCUCUGUCUGAAAGUAUCGUACGAAUAAGGAUCGGCUAACUCCGUGCCAGCAGCCGCGGUAAUACGGAGGAUUCGAGCGUUAUCCGGAUUUAUUGGGUUUAAAGGGUGCGUAGGCGGUCGGAUAAGUCAGAUGUGAAAGCCCGAGGCUCAACCCAGGAAUUGCCUUUGAAACUGGUAGGCUAGAGUGCAGUAGAGGUAGGCGGAAUUCGUGGUGUAGCGGUGAAAUGCUUAGAUAUCAUACAGAACACCGAUUGCGAAGGCAGCUUACUAAGCUACUACUGACGCUGAGGCACGAAAGCGUGGGGAGCAAACAGGAUUAGAUACCCCAGUAGUC
rnacentral:rRNA from 1 species